rnacentral:tRNA from 1 species
GGUGGCUCAGUGGUAGAGCACUUGCCUUGCAUGCAAGAAGCCCUGGGUUCUGUUCCUCAGCACCA